CGGUUGUUUACCCGCGUCGCGACGUUGGAAACUCCGUCAGGCCCGGGAGGGAGCAGCGGUAACAGCGGAUGCGAAUGCCGGGCGUAUGGCCGGUGUGG
rnacentral:SRP_RNA from 1 species